AACGCUAGCUACAGGCUUAACACAUGCAAGUCGAGGGGCAGCAUUUUAGUUUGCUUGCAAACUAAAGAUGGCGACCGGCGCACGGGUGAGUAACACGUAUCCAACCUGCCGAUAACUCGGGGAUAGCCUUUCGAAAGAAAGAUUAAUAUCCGAUGGUAUAUUAAAACCGCAUGGUUUUACUAUUAAAGAAUUUCGGUUAUCGAUGGGGAUGCGUUCCAUUAGUUUGUUGGCGGGGUAACGGCCCACCAAGACUACGAUGGAUAGGGGUUCUGAGAGGAAGGUCCCCCACAUUGGGAACUGAGACACGGUCCAAACUCCUACGGAGAGCAGCAGUGAGGAAUAUUGGUCAAUGGACGAGAGUCUGAACCAGCCAAGUAGCGUGAAGGAUGACUGCCCUAUGGGUUGUAACCUUCUUUUAUAUGGGAAUAAAGUAUUCCACGUGUGGGAUUUUGUAUGUACCAUAUGAAUAAGGAUCGGCUAACUCCGUGCCAGCAGCCGCGGUAAUACGGAGGAUCCGAGCGUUAUCCGGAUUUAUUGGGUUUAAAGGGAGCGUAGGUGGAUUGUUAAGUCAGUUGUGAAAGUUUGCGGCUCAACCGUAAAAUUGCAGUUGAAACUGGCAGUCUUGAGUACAGUAGAGGUGGGCGGAAUUCGUGGUGUAGCGGUGAAAUGCUUAGAUAUCACGAAGAACUCCGAUUG
rnacentral:rRNA from 1 species